UUUCCCAGUGUCAAAUAUUUUGAGUUGAUCCGUGUUGAUUGUGGUGUUCUUUUAGCACUUACAGUGUUAAAACAGCUCUGGGGGCGGAGUUAUUGCGGCGAGUUAAGUGAUGCUCUCCUGACCGAGUUACUUGCACAUCCGGUUUCAACGCGCUCUUUCUUCUUGAAGUCACGGUGAAGAAAACCCGUGGUCAGGAAGAUAUUUAGCUGUUAUUUCAGAAGGUAAGUACACAUUAUAUUUACUUCUACAGGCUGUUCAUCUUCAUAUGAAAUGAUGUGUUAACUUCAAGUGUGGUGAGACGUGUUUUAUAUUUUAGUGAAGCUUGUGACUAAUAGCUAACUUAACGUUUGCUAACGUUAGUUGGUUGAAGGGAGGAGAAAUAAGCCAGGAAGUGUAACAUCAGUCAAUAAAUAUGUAUGAACCUGUUCAAACCGGCCGAGCAUAUUUAAUUCCAGGCCAAAAUAAUAAAUAUACUUUUUUUCUUUCAGAAAAUUUCUUGAAGAAUAUUUAACUUAAUUAUGCCACAUUAUUUUGCCAUCAGAAAUUCGACGAUCCACCAUGACAGGACAUAAACGAGAGUUUCCGGUACUUCUGCCUCGAGGGCUAGCUUUACUAACGGUAGUUUCGCGGUACUGCUGUGUCGAGGGCUAACGGUAGUUUCGCGGUACUGCUGUCUCGCGCGCUAACAUUACUAACGGUAGUUUCGCGGUACUGCUGUGUCGAGGGCUAACGUUACUAACGGUAGUUUCGCGGUACUGCUGUGUCGAGGGUUAACGUUACUAACGGUAGUUUCACGGUACAGCUGUGUCGAGGGCUAACGGUAGUUUCGCGGUACUGCUGUGUCGAGGGCUAACGUUACUAACGGUAGUUUCGCGGUACUGCUGUGUCGAGGGCUAACGUUACUAACGGUAGUUUCGCGGUACUGCUGUGUCGAGGGUUAACGUUACUAACGGUAGUUUCGCGGUACAGCUGUGUCGAGGGCUAACGGUAGUUUCGCGGUACUGCUGUGUCGAGGGCUAACGGUAGUUUCGCGGAACUGCGGUCUCGCUGUCUUGCAUUUCACCGGCGUAUGGUUUAAUUGGCCGACUUUUAUCGCAGGCAUAUGCUAAACUGCGACAGGGACUAAAGAGGAAAAAGCGAGUGCCUAAUUGAUACCAAAACGGUAAUUAUAGACUUCCAACAUCUCAGAGACUAAGGUUCUAACGUUAACUUAGCGAUACCCUGUUAACUUUAGCCACUUGUUGGACUUAAUACAUGUUUAAUAACUCCUUGCCUAGAGAAAGUUGAACAGCUAUCUUUUUCCACUCUGUACAGUUUCUGCAAGAUAUCACCAUGCUGCUGAAGGUGACCAGAGUACCAAGAAGUACAUCCGAUUACAGCUAGGUUUCACCUAUUUGGAAUUCAUCACUGCAGUCAAAAACAAAUUUGGACUCCAUGAUGCAGCUGAACUUCACAUAUUUGAUGAAACUGACACUGCAGUGGAGGAAGACAUUCUCCUUGAACUGAUAAGAGUCCAAUCCAGACCUUUGCCUGAUCGUGCGUGACAGCAUUUCAGAUGAAAAUCAUUCAACACAAUCUUCUCUCACGGAUACCAUGACGCUUUCUUCAAGUGACAAUGACCUCUCCGGUCAAAGACAAAGGGGGAUUUUGAGCUCUGAGGUCAUGGACAGGUCUACAAAAAAGGUUUCGGAUUCAGAGACUGCAAAAGAGGUACUUGAAAGCAGUAGAUGUCAGUUAACAUUUUUACUCACAAUAUCAUCAAGAAAAUUGUUUAACUGAAUGAUGAUUCUCACCAAUUGGACUAUAAUUAAAUUUAGAAUGGUGAGUGCCAGAUUGAGAAAGUUACGAAACUUAGUUUAGUGUAAAUUAAUAAUUAACCCAGGGUUUAGCUGUUGUGUAGCUUUGUAUUAUGUAACUCUUCUUUCCAUACAUAUUUAUUCAAUUAGGUUAAUUUACAUACAUGGAACGGUGCCUUGUCUUUUGUAGUGUAGACUAUAUUGCUUGUUUUGGCUUCAGCAUGCCCCACAUAUCCUGAAAAGAUGUUUCUACGUUACCUGACCAAUUUGUUUGUUUGAUUAAGACUGAAAAUUAUUUGGGAGUUUUUCCUGGUCCGAUGCGAGGUUUUGGGGCAGGGAUGUCUAUGUGUACAGAUUGUAAAGCACUCCGAGACUAAUUUGUAAUUUGUGAAAUUGGGCUAUACAAAUAAACUGAAUUGAAUUAUACACUAAAUUUUUCAAAAUCUUAUGUGAGUAGAUGGUAGAAAAUGCCUUGCUCACCAAACCUGGAGGUGAAGAUGUCCUUGAAGAGUACAAGUCAGGAAAUUCGCUGAAGCACCGCACCCGUAGACAGCUUGUCAACAUAUUGGCCAUAUGACUGAAAUGGAUGGCUGAAUCAAGACUUCACACUGCUGUUUGGUGCUGAGACGGCUUCCAAGAUGCUCGAGAAGUGGGAUACAGCAUUCAAGCCCACGGUCAUCAAAGAGGCCAAACACCUGACUCCGUCAACUGAGCUGUGCCAACUUCUGACAGCUGCAGAGAACCUUCCAGAAGAUGAUCAUACCGACUGAGACAGUGACAUGGCUUCUCUGCUGCUGCUUCUCCAUCUCUUGCCACCCACAGCUGGACGGAAGUGGAUCAAAAUAAGUCCCAGUGAUGCAGUGGGAAAAAUGUUGCAUUGUCACAAGUCAUGCUGCAGCAUCAGUGAACACCUGCUGGGAAGAGAGGCUAAACAACCGUACAUCCUUGCUGUUGGCCGAAACAAAAACAGAAUCGAUGCCUUCUACAUCGUUGUGGAUAAACGGCUCAUCCCCUGCCAAGCUACGAGCUCGUUGGGUGCUUUUGAUGAACUAUUUAAAUCCCACAACGUGUUCAACCUGUCUUACGAUGAAACUUUGGUCCCACUCUUCACCUUUGUGCAGACAACAGUCUACAACAUCGAUAUUACAACAACAGAUCAGUCUCCAAGAGUACGUGAGUUCCGGGCGAAGGUCUUGCACGUGGAUUAAAAAUGAAGUGUUUCAUUUGUGGUGUUGUACAUGCGGCCUGCCAGGAGUUCAUUUUUGUAGAUGUGCAUGAUGGUGCUUUGAAGAUAUUU